rnacentral:tRNA from 1 species
GGAGGAUUAGCUCAGUUGGGAGAGCACUUGCCUUACAAGCAAGGGGUCACUGGUUCGAGCCCGGUAUCCUCCA